rnacentral:rRNA from 1 species
UAACACGUAGGGGGCAAGCGUUGUCCGGAAUCAUUGGGCGUAAAGAGCUCGUAGGCGGCUCAAUAAGUCGGGUGUGAAACCCCCAGGCUCAACCUGGGGACGCCACCCGAUACUGUUGUGGCUAGAGUCCAGUAGGGGAGUGUGGAAUUCCCGGUGUAGCGGUGAAAUGCGCAGAUAUCGGGAGGAACACCAGCGGCGAAGGCGGCACUCUGGGCUGGUACUGACGCUGAGGAGCGAAAGCGUGGGUAGCAAACAGGAUUAGAUACCCUGGUAGUCCACGCCGUAAACGUUGGGCACUAGGUGUGGGGCCUUUCCAACGGGUUCCGUGCCGUAGCUAACGCAUUAAGUGCCCCGCCUGGGGAGUACGGCCGCAAGGCUA